rnacentral:rRNA from 1 species
GAUGAACGCUGGCGGUAUGCCUAACACAUGCAAGUCGUACGAGAGUUUUUAACUCUAGUGGCGGACGGGUGAGUAACACGUGAGAAUUUACCUUUAGGAGGGGGAUAACAAUUGGAAACGAAUGCUAAUACCCCAUAUGCUUUUGAGUGAAAUGGAUUUAUAUUUAUCCGCCUAGAGAGAAGCUCGCGGCUGAUUAGCUUGUUGGUAAGGUAAGAGCUUACCAAGGCGACGAUCAGUAUCUGGUUUGAGAGGACGAUCAGACACACUGGAACUGAGACACGGUCCAGACUCCUACGGGAGGCAGCAGUGGGGAAUUUUCCGCAAUGGGCGAAAGCCUGACGGAGCAAUACCGCGUGAGGGAAGACUGCCUAUGGGUUGUAAACCUCUUUUUUCAGGGAGGAAUAAAAU